GAGCUUCACUUAAAGCUGUUCAAUUAGCACCUUUACUGUGAUUUUACUGUAAGCUCUCCCUGAUGAGGACCACUCACAGGUUCCUCAUCUCUCUCUGUCACACACACAUGCAUGCACGCACACACACACACACACACAAACAGACACAUAUGCACCACUUGUGACAUUUCCGGCGCAACAAAACACAACCUGAAAAACUCAGCAGAAGAAAAGAGACUUUAGACGUUCGACUCUACAGAGCUGAAGGUUCCUACUGCAGAACCUGAGAGGAUCGGACUCAGAGCUGCUGAUGCCCAGAGGAGAUCAAGACUUCAGUAGCCCAGUCAGAACCUGAAAUCUCUCAGCAACCUCCAUUUCUAGAGAAGACAAAGACAGAGUGCAGACGUUGGACGUUUGAGUUUCCUAUAAAUACAUGCAACAGGAAGUGGUUAUGAAGUAGAGCGUGUGCAGAAACAGGGAGCACACGAGCGACUGAAGCAGUAACACAGUAAAGAUCAGUACAGAGGCGACCAACUCCAUCACUCCAUCACUCCAUCACUCCAUCACUCCAUCCAUGGGAACCGAUAAAGAGUCUGAGGCAGAGGCGCACGAGUCGAUGGAGCAAGGCGCCCCUCAGGAGGCGGCGGAGAGCAGCGCAGAGCAGGCGGGGGACGGGAACCUGCUGAACACGUACACCUGGCACACGGGGGGCGCACGGGGCGAUGCUGCAGAGAAAAGUGCGGGAAGCAAGUGGGGUAAGAUGCAGAGCUGGAGGAAGGCGCUGAGUGAAGACUCAACCAAUAAAUCACCUGCACCGUCACCCGCACUGGGGGCUCGCACAGGGGACGGAACCUCGAAACCAACCAGUGGGAGGAAGAACCCGUUCCGCAGAGCACUGUCAGAACCUCCAGGCGCGCUGCUAUCCAUCCUGUCCCCUUCAUCAUCAUCAUCCUCACCUUCGGCGGCGGGGACCGCAGCCGCCUCGGACACACCACAGGGUGGGAAAUUCCGCAAAUAUCUACGCCAGGUGUCUCAGAAGCUGAAGAGGCAGAACCGCAACAACACACAACAACAACAACAACAACAACAGCCGAGUGAGGAUGUGCCAUGUGUGGACCUUGCAGAUUCAGUUCAGUUCUCCUGGGCUCCUCAGGAUGUUCUCGUCUGGGACAUUAACAACUGCCUCCUUCAUGAAGGACAGAUCGUCAUCUCCAGAGAGGAGGAGCCGUUGUUGCGGAUGAGGAAUCGAGCGAGCAGCUGUCUGUCAUCUCUCAGUCUGCACAACCUCACUGAGAGCCACUCCAACCUCGAGUGCACUCCAGACCAUGUGUCCGCGGCCCCAAAGCCCAAAACUCAAGAUGGUGGCGUGAGAAUGAAAAUAAAACGGCGUCUGCAGGGUGGAGCUCACAGGAAACUCAGCAACACACAGCUGAACAUAGUGGAACUGAACCCCUCAGCACGUGUGUUUGGUUCUCGAGAGUCUCUCUCGGUACCACUGAAUGCAGCUGAAAGUCUGGACGUGAGCUCGGACUGUACCACUGUGAUCCGGCCGGUGCACAGUUCGAUCCUCGGAGAGAAGUACUGCUUUGAAGUGAUAAACUCGGACAGUAACCACUGUUUUGGCUGCAGCUCUGCUGCCGAGAGGGACCGCUGGAUCGAGAACCUGCGGCGCACCGCUCGGCCCAAUAAGGAUAACUAUGAACGUACAGAGAACUCUCUCAGCCUGUGGGUGAAUGAAGCUAAAGAUCUCCCGCCCAAAAAGCGCUACUACUGUGAGGUUCAUCUCGACGGUACGCUGUUCGCUCGCACCAGCAGUCGCACAGUGGGCAAAUCAUCCUCAGUCCCCGGUAAUGAUUGUGGGUCGAAUGCUGUGGGCAUGUCUUCUGGAGGAAGUGGAAGCUCAGGGGGUUGCCAGCUGUUCUGGGGUGAGUUUUUUGAGCUAGAUAACCUCCCACCUGUCAAGCAGAUCACACUGCACCUGUUCCGUGAUGAAGACCCCAAGAAGAAGCGCCACUCGAAGGACGAAAUCAUCUCUUACCCUCUGGGCAGUGUGGCUCUGUCUCUGGCUAACAUUAAAGGACGCGUAUUUCAGGAGAAAUGGUAUCCCAUCAUUCCCUUCAAACCUCCUGGUACAGCAGGGGCAAAGGAGCAGCUCGGGGCACAGGCGAGUCUCAGAGUGAAGGCAAGAUUCCAGAACCUGCAGGUGCUGCCGAUUGAGAGAUAUAAGGAGUUUGCAGAGUAUGUGACCCUGGGAUACGUGGAGAUGUGCAGCAACCUGGAGCCUCUGCUGAACGUCAAGGAUAAAGAGGAGCUGGCUGGAGCACUUGUCCAUGUCCUACAGAGCAUCGGGAAGGCCAAGGAGUUCUUGAUCGAGCUUGGUGGUGCUGAAGUCCAGCGCUUGGGCGAGAACGAGGCACUGAUCUUCAGAGAAAAUACUUUGGCCACAAAAGCCAUAGAUGAGUACAUGAAGCUGGUGGGGCAGAAAUAUCUCAUCGAUACUCUAGGAGAUUUCAUCGCUCGACUGUAUGCAUCCUCAGAAAGCUGUGAAGUCAAUCCACAGAAAUGUUCUGCCUCAGAGCUGCUUGUCAACCAACGCCAUCUAAAGGAAACCUGUGGAGAGGUGGUGCAGCAGAUCACGGAGAUGCACAGCUCCUUUCCAGUGGAACUGAAUGAAAUUUUCUCCAGCUGGGUGUCUGACUGUGAGGACCGUGGACGAGGGUCUAUUGGACACCGUCUCAUAUCAGCGUCUUUGUUCCUCCGGUUCCUUUGUCCAGCCAUCCUCAGCCCCUCUCUGUUUGGAUUGACCCAACCAUACCCAGAACCCAACACACUCCGUACACUGACUCUCACGGCUAAAGUGCUGCAGAACCUCGCCAACUUCACGCCGUUUGGGGAGAAAGAAGAGUACAUGCUGUUCAUGAAUGAGUUCCUGGAGGAACAUUGGAACAAUAUGAGAGCUUUUCUGCAGAAAGUAUCAAACCCUGACAGUGAACUGGAGAUGGCUCGGUUUGAUGGCUAUGUGGAUCUUCCUUUACGCCUCGCUGUGCUUCACAGCCUGCUGGUCGACAUCAUCUCCCCAAUGAAACUGGAAACUAUAAACAACCUGCAGCCACUACCGAGCAUCUUAAACCAGAUCACUGAGCACCUCGGCCCAGACAUUCCCCGGAUCAACUGCAGCAGUUACAGUUCCAAGCCAACCUACGUUCCUCCUCGAGACCUAAAUAAGUACAGCCCACUGAACAAGUCCCUUCAGCAGCUGCCUUCAGACCCGCGUCCUGCACAUGCCAAGGACAAACACCGGAAGCAGGUGACGAGGACGCAGAGUGUCCCUGCCUCUGAGAGACACCAUCGCCAUCCUCCAAAGAGAACGACCAGCACCACCAACCUGAGCGAGACACCCGAUGUCCAUCACGAGGACGAUGCAGAACCACCUCUGGCCAUCUCAUCGCCACAGCAUACCAACAGCGCUAAACCUCCACCUGCCCCUGUUCCUUGGAUUAAAGAGCAGCAUCAGACCAAACAUGUUCAGGAGGAGACAAGCCUGAUGGAAGAGCACACUCAGGAGCUGCGCGAGUUGCGUACAGGGUUGGAGCAGGUGACGGAGCGUGAGCUGGAGAUGGCGAAGCGUCUGGAGGAUUUCAUCAUCGUGAGUCAGGAGCAGCAGGUGCAGCUGCAGGCCGAGCUGCAGGAAAUGCGCAGUGUGUUAGCUCUGAAAGAGGAGCAGCUCGCCAGCGCCACCUUCAGACUGGGUGUGAUUGAGGAGGAGCGUGAGGAAGACGAAAGGAAGCUGAGCGUCGCCAUGGCAGCAGCCGAGAGGAUGAACGUGUUGGUAAGAUGGUGGAGAUUUUAUUAUUGUUGUGGUUUUGCAUGUUUGUGUGUGUGUGUGUGUGUGUGUGUGUGUGUGUGCGCGUGCAACCCUACUUAUGUGUGUGUUUUCAGGAGGAGCAGUUUGCAGGUCUGUUAAAGGAGAUGCAGCAGUUAAAUACGGCACACAGUGACGGGCCGGGAACAUCGUACAGCAACCCUUAACACACACCUACAGACAACAGGUGCUGCAGCUCCACGUUUCCGACUUCCUCCUGAUCGUCUAGACGGACCUCUGACUCCGUCUUCUUCUCUACUCUCACACCUACAGUCCUGUCGUUUUUUUAAAAACUACUGUAGUUUAAUUUCACAUGUGAUAAAGUGACAAUAAAAUUCGACAGCAUAUCGAACCUUCAAAAA